rnacentral:tRNA from 2 species
GCGCCCGUGGCGGAAUUGGUAGACGCGCUAGACUUAGGAUCUAGUUUCUUGCGAAGUGCAGGUUCGAGUCCUGUCGGGCGCA